rfam:Triticum aestivum genome assembly, contig: Triticum_aestivum_CS42_TGACv1_scaffold_195931_3AL
GAUCUACUCCCUCCGUUCUGAAUUACUUGUCGUGGGUAUGGAUGUAUCUAGAUGUAUUUUAGUUCUAGAUACAUCCAUUUUUUGCGACGAGUAAUUUGGAACGGAGGGAGUAAUUU